rnacentral:rRNA from 1 species
AUUGAACGCUGGCGGCAGGCCUAACACAUGCAAGUCGAGCGGCAGCGGGAAAGUAGCUUGCUACUUUUGCCGGCGAGCGGCGGACGGGUGAGUAAUGCCUGGGAAAUUGCUCAGUCGAGGGGGAUAACAGUUGGAAACGACUGCUAAUACCGCAUACGCCCUACGGGGGAAAGCAGGGGACCUUCUGGCCUUGCGCGAUUGGAUAUGCCCAGGUGGGAUUAGCUAGUUGGUGAGGUAAUGGCUCACCAAGGCGACGAUCCCUAGCUGGUCUGAGAGGAUGAUCAGCCACACUGGAACUGAGACACGGUCCAGACUCCUACGGGAGGCAGCAGUGGGGAAUAUUGCACAAUGGGGGAAACCCUGAUGCAGCCAUGCCGCGUGUGUGAAGAAGGCCUUCGGGUUGUAAAGCACUUUCAGCGAGGAGGAAAGGUUGAUGCCUAAUACGUAUCAACUGUGACGUUACUCGCAGAAGAAGCACCGGCUAACUCCGUGCCAGCAGCCGCGGUAACAC